rnacentral:rRNA from 1 species
UACGUAGGAUCCGAGCGUUGUCCGGAAUUACUGGGCGUAAAGGGUGCGUAGGCGGCAAUGUGCGUCAGAGGUGAAAUCCACGGGCUUAACUUGUGGGGUGCCUUUGAUACGGCAUAGCUUGAGUACGAGAGAGGUCGAUGGAAUUCCUGGUGUAGCAGUGAAAUGCGUAGAUAUCAGGAGGAACACCGGUGGCGAAGGCGGUCGGCUGGCUCGUAACUGACGCUGAGGCACGAAAGCGUGGGGAUCAAACAGGAUUAGAUACCCUGGUAGUCCACGCCAUAAACGAUGUAUGCUUGGUGUUGGGUG